rnacentral:tRNA from 1 species
GCGGGAGUAGCUCAGAGGUAGAGCACCACCUUGCCAAGGUGGCUGCCGCGGGUUCGAAUCCCGUCUCCCGCUCCA